CAGCCGCCGCGGGAAUACGUAGGUGGCGAGCGUUGUCCGGAAUCAUUGGGCGUAAAGGGAGCGCAGGCGGGCAUAUAAGUCUUUCUUAAAAGUUCGGGGCUCAACCCCGUGAUGGGAAAGAAACUAUAUGUCUUGAGUACAGGAGAGGAAAGCGGAAUUCCCAGUGUAGCGGUGAAAUGCGUAGAUAUUGGGAGGAACACCAGUGGCGAAGGCGGCUUUCUGGACUGCAACUGACGCUGAGGCUCGAAAGCCAGGGGAGCGAACGGGAUUAGAUACCCCUGUAGUCCCUGUCUCUUAUACA
rnacentral:rRNA from 1 species